AAAAAGGGCUUCUGUCGUGAUUGACACAGGGGAGGUGAGGGGUUCUUACCUUCCCUGCGGAAUCGCUAUCAAGAGAUUUCGGAAGCAUAAUUUUUACUCCUCGAGGCUGCUAGUGAUCAAUGUCCUGGCGCCUCU